rnacentral:rRNA from 1 species
AAUCAACGCUGGCGGCGUGCCUAACACAUGCAAGUCGAACGCGAAAGCCCCGCAAGGGGUAAGUAGAGUGGCAAACGGGUGAGUAACACGUGGGUGACCUGCCUUCGAGUGGGGGAUAACGUCCCGAAAGGGACGCUAAUACCGCAUGACAUCCUGCUUUUGAAAAAGCGGAGAUCAAAGCUGGGGAUCGCAAGACCUAGCGCUUGAAGAGGGGCCCGCGCCUGAUUAGCUAGUUGGUGAGGUAACGGCUCACCAAGGCGACGAUCAGUAUCCGGCCUGGGAGGGCGGACGGACACACUGGGACUGAGACACGGCCCAGACUCCUACGGGAGGCAGCAGUGGGGAAUUGUUCGCAAUGGGCGCAAGCCUGACGACGCAACGCCGCGUGGAGGACGAAGAUCUUCGGGUCGUAAACUCCUGUCGAGCGGGACGAACGCUUCGCGGAUGAAUAAUCCGCGGAAUUGACGGUACCGCUAAAGGAAGCCCCGGCUAACUCCGUG